rnacentral:piRNA from 1 species
UGUAACCAUCAACACGGAACUCCUACUUCCU